UACGUAGGGUGCGAGCGUUAAUCGGAAUUACUGGGCGUAAAGCGUGCGCAGGCGGUUCGCCAAGUCAGGUGUGAAAUCCCCGGGCUCAACCUGGGAAUUGCAUUCGAUACUGGAUAGCUAGAGUUCGGCAGAGGGAAGCGGAAUUUCUGGUGUAGCGGUGAAAUGCGUAGAUAUCAGAAGGAACAUCAGUGGCGAAAGCGGCUUCCUGGACCAGAACUGACGAUCAGGCACGAAAGCGUGGGGAGCAAACAGG
rnacentral:rRNA from 1 species